rnacentral:rRNA from 1 species
GUGGGGAAUCUUCCGCAAUGGACGAAAGUCUGACGGAGCAACGCCGCGUGAGUGAUGAAGGCCUUCGGGUCGUAAAGCUCUGUCAUCAGGGACGAACGGCCGGUGGAGUGGAAAGCCACCGGAUUGACGGUACCUGAGAAGGAAGCCACGGCUAACUACGUGCCAGCAGCCGCGGUAAUACGUAGGUGGCAAGCGUUGUCCGGAAUUAUUGGGCGUAAAGCGCGCGCAGGUGGGAUCUUAAGUCCAUUUUGAAAGUUCGGAGCUCAACUCCGUGAUGGGAUGGAAACUGGGAUUCUUGAGUACCGGAGAGGAAAGCGGAAUUCCCCGUGUAGCGGUGAAAUGCGUAGAUAUGGGGAGGAACACCAGUGGCGAAGGCGGCUUUCUGGACGGUGUCUGACACUGAGGCGCGAAAGCUAGGGGAGCGAACGGGAUUAGAAACCCGAGUAGUCC